UGGAAGACCCGCCCCCGGCGAACGGACUUGCUCUUCUCCCGACGACAAGGAGAGAGAGGGCUGGAAUGAAAUACAACUCCCUCAACUGCAGCAGGAGAGAGUGGUGUUACCAUUGCGGAUAAACUCAGGAGCUAACCAGUCACCAACUCCACGUAGGUUUGAUGACAACACACAGACCCAGUGUAGACAUGCAGCCGUUGUUGGUGAUUAAAGAAGAAACUCUCCCUGAACACCAGG